rnacentral:lncRNA from 10 species
AGAGGUUGUGGUGAGCUGAGAUCGUGCCAUUGCACUCCAGCUUGGGCCAUUCCAACUCCAUCUCAAAAUAAUAAUAAUAAUAAAAAAACAUUAAUUAUGUUCCAGUAAUUUAUCUCUAAUUGCAAUAACUUUAAGUUUCACCUUUUUUACUUGCCUCAUAAAAUGAGAUAUACCAACCAUUGAGAAGCCUUGAAUAUAUAUUCAUGUGUAUUAUGCUGUAAAGAAAACCAUUUGAUACUGUACCUAACAGACAGUCAUUCUAGCAACAGCUAAGUAGGGAAUCCUUGAAUAGAGUCCUAGAAUAUUCAUUUACUUGUUUAUUUCUAUAAUUUGACUGUCCAUUUGUGCAACAAAUAGUUAUUGAACAUUCACUCUGUGCCAGAGCCUGGGGAUACAGGAGGGGAUAUUCUAAACAAAGUCAAUCCUUUCUUAUGGCUUCCCUAGUUUCUAUAGAUUCUAGUAUUAAAGGCUGGACAAAUAAAUAGAUUUAUCAAAGGCAAGGUAGGUAAGUGCUCUGGAGGCAAUGGAAAAUAGAUUAAGAGCAUUAAGUGGGAUAAGAAGAGACAGAGGUGGGAGAAAAGCAUUGCGGUAGGGUGACAUUUCAGCAGAGACUUCAAGGUUGCUAGGGGAAGUCACAUGCUGUUAUGUGAGAAAGCACUCCAGGUACAGAGAGCAGAGGCCAAAGUCCUCCAGCCUGACAUUGGUUGGGGAUUCCUGGGACAGCGGGGAAGCCGGAUUAUCUUAAGCAAGUGAAAGAGGAAGAUGGAGGUGGGAAACCAUGUCAGACAGGAGGUUAGGUGAUGGGCAACUUUGAAGGCCAUUGUAAGGACUUGGCUUUCAUUCUGAGUAAGAUUAAGGAUCCAUUGGAGAGUUUUGAGCAAAGAUUAUGUGAAUUAGAAUACAGAAGUACUUAGAUUUUUACUUUUAAUAUACUUAUUAAGAGAAAUGGGAAAACAAAUUCCUGGGCUCCAUGAAAUACUCGUCCACUCUAUCAGUCAAUGGUAGAUUCUGUCUUGCAGUUCUCCAGGCCCUCUGAACAGCUAUCUAAUGUCCUAAAGUAUUCAUAGAAACAAUAAAAGAUAAGAGAGUAAGAGAAAAGAAGAAAAUAAUUUUAAAAAUUUAAAAAUGUGUUAUUAUUGUUAUUAUUGCCUUAGGACAGGUAAAAGAGGUAAGAGAUCAAGGAGAUAACUCUUGGACAAGUAGAUCUCAUUACAACUUUUAGUACAGUCACAGAUGCUUUACAUGAUCAACUGAAGCAGACUUAGUGUUGCUUUUAAGGAGGACAGCAGGCACAGUCUUAUCAAGUUCUGAAUUUCCUCACUUGGUCAAGCAGUUGCUGUGUGACUUUGAAAGAGUUAUUAAUACAUUAGUAAUCUGUGUUUGUUUCCUCAUCUGUGAAAUUCAGUAAAUCCAUCUUACAUGCUGGUUGUGAGGGGUAGUGACCUGGCAAAUAGUAAUCACAGGCAAGUGUUUGUUGUCAUUGAUAACAAGAUUGGAUUUCUAAGAAGAUGGUGUUGAUUGCAAGAUGGUGUUUAUCAAGAUAUCUUGAUAAGAUAGUUUUUAUUGUGAGAUGCAUUAUUAAGUUGAGCUUUGCUUUAAGCAUAAGAGACUGCAUUAAGUGCACUAAUUGACUUUUAAAUCUAUUUAAUUUUCAGAAAUGUCAAAUAUGAAUAAAAAUAUGAAAUGAAUGGAGGGUUUAUGAUCAGGGAUAUUCUAUGUUACACAUUUACUGCUUUAUCAUUUAAAAUAAGCCCCCAAAUUGAAAGUGAGUCAACAUUUGACAUAUCAGUAUUUUCCAAGGAAUAAUUUGUGUAGCCAGUUUUCAAAACUAGAGGCUAUAAACUACUCUGAUUUUUAAAUGAUAUUGAUAAACAAGGAGACAUUUCAUUUUUUAAAUGACUAAUGUGAUUAUCAAAAUAAAAGAAUAAAAAAUAUAAGACUUGAUUUGACUAAUGGGUAAAACAUGAAUGCCACUAGGUAAGACUAUUUCUAUCAUGACAUUACCUUAAAUUAGAAAUCACUAAUUAUGUAUGCAUGUGCCAAAAUAUAACUACUCUAGCAAGUGAUGAAUUUGCAUAUACAAUGAUUUUAAUCAAGGCACUUCUUUGAUUGUACAAUUAUCUGUUUUGCAUACACAAAAUCUGAAUUCUGUACAUGUGAGUCCUCAUUUGUAUAUGCACCAAAUUAUUUUGUUGGUGCAACUUAGAAAUCUCUACUUGAUAUAUUAGGGCAUUAUUUCUCUUCCAUUUAUAGUAAUAUGUUUUCAGUUUUUAUUAAGUAGUAAAACCAAACUCCCUGGAAAAACAUGGGAGGUGGGCCCUGCCUCUAGUCAUAAUAGAGGGAAAUGCCACUGUAUUUCUAUUCUGUGUUAAGAAAAAGCAAAAAGUUUCUUCUACACACCGUUUGUUCCUUUCUGCCUUCUUAUUUGGAAUGUAUCUCAAAAUUUAAAGAAGACUUUGGUUCACAGAGAGAACCCUUGAGUGGUAAUCAUAUUGAGUUCACUCAAUUUUCCACAUUGUUAGUCUGUAAAUGAUGAGAGUAGGGUGUUGAUCCUUACUACUCUUAAGCAACAGAGAAAAUUUAGAGGUGGUGGAAAGUACCAAAUUUAUAGUCCUAGAGACAAAUAUUCUCUGUAGAGUUCCUGAAAAAAGAAAUAGCCGGAAAAGCAGUGAGGCAAAACUCGUUAUUUCAUUAUGGUCUUGCUGGACAACUGAGACUCCCCUUGGCCCUCAGCGAGAGCAGUGUGCUACAUACAGUAAUCUGGGCACAUUGAUGACCGCAGUGUAAAGCUCUUAGUAAGUGGGAUGUUUGUUUUGUAGUUAAGUCAUCCUGACAGGCCCAUUGGGUCAUAAACCUGCUUACAAUGCAAAGUUAUUCACAACCUCAAAAUGAGACUUCUGUACAUUACAGAUAGGUCAUUGGUAACAGCAGAAGUCUUAGCUUUUUAAUCAUUCAAAUCAAGAUCUUUUCUGCAUAUUUGGGUUUGGUCUUGAGGAUUCAACUGAGAUAAAAUUGUCUCAUAUCAGUAGAUACAAAAUUACCACGGUCCUUCUGUUGUCUACCUGCCUGCAGAUGUGUCCUUGCAAGAAUGGGAUCCUAUGUUAGGUCAAGAGUAGAAUUCUAGCUUGUAAAUUUUCAGUUUUGCUACCUUUGCUGUGACUCUAGGGUAAUUUGAUAAUCAGGCUAUAAAGAGAUCCUUUCAAAGUCUCUGAAUUUUCGAACUUUGAACCUUGCUUUUACGUAACACUGAAUUUUCUAUAAUGCAUUUCUUCUUGGCUACAUAGAUGACCCACUGUUAUUGGAAUAAGCCCAGGUCAAAUUUGUCUAUGAUGUCUCUUCAACAAUAUUUUGUAGUCUGUUUUCUUCCAGUCUUCACUUUCAAUCUCCUCAGGGAGGGAAUAUAUAGUAAUGAAACUAUAUUACAGUAAUUAGAGUCAGCCACAUUGAGACAGCCAAGCAAAAAGGGCUUCCUGGAGAACCUCUGACCAACCUGCACACUGGGAGAAUGGGGUGGAGCCAUGGAAAUUCCUGUCAUUUGCAGAGGGGAGGAGCCUGGUCUCUUAAGUUCCUGUGUGAUGGGGCGGGAGCUGGUUAAUCGGCUUCCCUCUUGCUCAGCUGAAAGUUUUUCUCUUUUUCCUUUUUUACCCAAUAAAUUGUUAUUCUCACCCUUCUAUGUGUCCACGAACCUAAUCUUUCCUGGCCAUGUGACAAGAACCUGGUUUUAGCUGAACUGAGAAGAAAGCCCUGCAACAACAUCUGGUGUGAUAGACUGAACCAUGCCUCCAGAGAGAAGAUGACUACUCCCAGUUGAUGCUGACCCUCCCAGGAACAUGAAACAAAAAAAAAAAAAAGUAUGGGGUCUAAUAGGUCCUUGCUACUCAAAGUGUGAUCCACAAAGCAGCAACAUAAACAUCACUUGAGAACUUGUUGAAAAUGUAAAAUUUCAGGCCCUAAUGUAAGGGAUUUUCAACUCCAUUUCCUGAUAUAAUCACCAGGGAGCUGAAGCAUCAAAGUUUAGAUGUUAGGCUUCAUUUACCUUGAGAGACUCUGAGUUAAUUGGUUUGGGUACUACCCAGGUCUAACUAGCCUUUUCGACUUCACAGUUGAUUCUGAUAUGCAACCUGGUUUAAGAAAGGAGAGUUUUAGCAGAAAACUUCAAUUGAUUUUGAAACUUCUACUUCCAUGGCCUUCUUCAAGCACCUACAAGACUCUGGGUUUCAGAAUAUUCUUCAGAUUUCCUUGUACCAGUGGACCAGUGGCAGAUUUCCUUGCACCAAUUUCCUCUUGACCCCAUUAUUCAUGGUUACUAACCAAACCUGCCAACUUUGGCAUCUACCCCCUUUUCUCAGUAAUCUUGAGAUCUGAACUAGCUGAACAAAUAGACUGGAAAGCAUUCACAACGUCAGUAGGAAUGUGGUACGAAACCAAAAGCAUUUUAUCACAUUUUCAAGCAAAACUCAAGUACUUUCAAGCAUAAUAAUGACGAUAACGUCUACUUGUAUUAUGGUUAGGACUAUCUACCCCCACAACCAUUGUUGUUGCUUUUUGUAAUCGGACUAUUGCAAAGUGAUAUGAUUGCCUUUGAAUAGAUUGCAGUAUUAGAAUAAUAUAUUUAUAUUUUUGUAAAAUCUUGUAUUUUGUUCACUCACAAAUUACUUGACUGAAAGAGACUGACUUUCUUCAAUCCUUUACAGUUUACCCUGGAAUAAUUAGGUAAUAAGAGGGAAAACAGACAUAGAAGCUAGUCAAGACCCAGUUCUUUUUGUAUGUGACUCAACAAAACAGCAUUUUUGCUGUAAAUCUUAAGAUAAUCUUUGAACACUGAAUCAAGAGCACUAAAAGUCAAAACCAAAUCAAACGUUUGAAAAAUUAAUGUCUUGAUUGAAGUCCCUUGGGGAGCCGUCAAAGGAACAGAGUUAUUUAUAUACUACCUUACUAUUUACAGCAUGGUCUUUAAACCAGCAGCUUUGUACCACCUAGGAACUAAUAGAAAUGCAUAUUAUUGGGCCUUACUUCAGCUCAGAUUCUAAAUCAGAAUCUGCGUUUUGAAAAGAUAGCCCACAUUAUUCAUAGACAUAUUAAGGUUUGAGAAGCACCAAUGUAAUAUACAAUAAGGCUUUUAAUAUUUUUUUCCAACAUUUGCUUUUUCUUAAGUCACACCACAUACAGCAUCCCAUACAGUUGAUCUAUUAUUUCUUACCCAAAACCUAUGUAAAUUUUUUUACGCCUUCAAAAUUGUUAUCUUCCUGCCAACCAGCUCCCACUCUGGCCAUUUCUUAUUUUACCAAGCAGUCUAGUCUGAGGGAAGGGGGAGGAUGCUAUACAAAGACACUCUUUCAUAACAUUUUCCUUAUCGCAAUUGAAUAAGAACAAAAAAUGCAACACUUUCUCUCAAUCUGCUCUAAACUGGUAAACUCUCAAGAAGUAAAAUGAGUAACAAUUUUAUGUAGAGUCUUCUUUCUCUAAGUCUGGCAAUGUGCAGAGAAUCCUUGAAAAUACCAGUUUACCAGUACUGUGAAAGCACACAAAUAUGUUGUGUUUAUUCUUCCAAGAGAGACAUAAAUGGGUAGCAACUUCUCCAGAGAUUAACUAUAUUGUUCCAAGUUAUAUCCACUCAUCUUAGUUUCCAAUGAAUAAUCAUAGCAAUAUAAGGCAAUUAUGUAAGCUAAGGAAUGUAAAUUCUUUUUUCUUCUUUCUCUUAUGGUAUGGAUAGUAGAGAAAACAAAAAAUAAUUUUUGUGUCAGUAUCCACUGGGUAUUCUGCUAUCAAUCUAAAAACUAUAAAGUAUUUCUUGUAACUACUAAAAGAGUAACUAACAACAGGAUAUUACUUUUCUAGUUGAUUGAGAGAUUGUUAAAGUUUGAGUAAGUGAAGCAUUUGUGAAAAUAAACAUCUCUGUUGACAAAAUCUGGUUGAAAACUAAAGUCUUACUUUUAAUUGAAAAGAAGAAACAAAACAUCCUAAAAUGCCUAAUGAACUGCCAGAAGGAAACUCAUUCAAAGAAUUUUAACCAAAGGUUUUAUAGGUAAAAUAAAACCUUUAGAAUAUCAAAAAGAAAAGUAUUCCGUGCAGACAUAAGAUGAGCAAAAUAAACUUACCACAGUUGUUCAGUUAAUGGACAGGCACCAUCAUCUGAAACAACAAAAAUGUAUUUUGAUAUUGUGAUCAUAAAAACUACCAAAACCUUUCAAAUUGUCUUCAAACACAUGUUAUGGACAUAUCUAUAGAAGCAAAAUAAAAUUAAGUAAGCAAU